rnacentral:lncRNA from 1 species
UUUAUAGGGAAAACGGUACUAUUUAUUCUGCCAUAGGCGACAAUACUAACAAUUCCUAAAUUUACCACUUUUUAUAAUAAAAACUUGGAUAAAACAGUUAUGUGUGGUGUUAGUCCUCUAUUAUUCUAUUUUAAAAAUUAAAGCCAAUUAGUAUCAUGACCAAUUUCCAACGGAGCUUGUUUAUGUUAUCCAUGCCCACCGUCAUUUUACACCAAAAAUUUGAAAUUUUGGAAGCCUUUUCGAAUAAUUCUCUAGAAAAUAUUUCAAUAGGUUUUAAAAUUUAUAUUGUAAAUUUACACACUGCAGUUAUUCAUAGAUAAUUAAAAAAAAUAUAUUGUACCCUUACAUCCAAUCACAGCGCUCCUAAUUUGACUUCCUUCACCUGCCUUGGGUACACAAAAGGCCAACCUAAUGCUGGGAAAAUGUAAUACUACCGUUUUCCCUAUAAA